CGGGAUGUAGCCUAGAGGCUAAGGCGUCUGCUUUGGGAGCAGAAGAUCGACGGUUCGAAUCCGCCCAUCCCGA
rnacentral:tRNA from 1 species